UACGUAGGGUGCGAGCGUUGUCCGGAAUUACUGGGCGUAAAGAGCUCGUAGGUGGUUUGUCGCGUUGUUCGUGAAAACUCACAGCUCAACUGUGGGCGUGCGGGCGAUACGGGCAGACUGGAGUACUGCAGGGGAGACUGGAAUUCCUGGUGUAGCGGUGGAAUGCGCAGAUAUCAGGAGGAACACCCGUGGCGAAAGCGGCGCACUGGACCAUAACUGACGCUGAGGCGCGAAAGCGUGGGGAGCAAACAGG
rnacentral:rRNA from 1 species